GAUACCCUGGUAGUCCACGCAGUAAACGAUGAGCACUAAUUGUCCGGAGCGAGUGAGCUCUGGGUGAUACAGCGAAAGCGUUAAGUGCUCCACCUGGGGAGUACGCCGGCAACGGUGAAACUCAAAGGAAUUGACGGGGGCCCGCACAAGCGGAGGAACAUGUGGUUUAAUUCGAUGAUACGCGAGGAACCUUACCCGGGCUCAAACGCGGCGUGAAUACUUUUGAAAGGAGGUAGUCAGCAAUGACACGCCGCGAGGUGCUGCAUGGUUGUCGUCAGCUCGUGCCGUGAGGUGUCGGCUUAAGUGCCAUAACGAGCGCAACCCCUACCGACAGUUGCUAACAGUCAAAGCUGAGGACUCUGUCGGGACUGCCGGCGCAAGCUGCGAGGAAGGCGGGGAUGACGUCAAAUCAGCACGGCCCUUACGUCCGGGGCGACACACGUGUUACAAUGGCAGGUACAGCGGGAAGCCACCUGGCGACAGGGCGCGGAACCCGAAAACCUGUCUCAGUUCGGAUUGGAGUCUGCAACCCGACUCCAUGAAGCUGGAUUCGCUAGUAAUCGCGCAUCAGCCACGGCGCGGUGAAUACGUUCCCGGGCCUUGUACACACCGCCCGUCAAGCCAUGGAAGCCGGGAGUGCCUGAAGUGCGUGACCGCAAGGAGCGUCCUAAGGCAAUACCGGUGACUGGGGCUAAGUCGUAACAAGGUACC
rnacentral:rRNA from 1 species